rnacentral:rRNA from 1 species
AAUCAACGCUGGCGGCGUGCCUAACACAUGCAAGUCGAACGCGAAAGUGGAGCAAUCCAUGAGUAGAGUGGCAAACGGGUGAGUAACACGUGGGUGACCUGCCUUCGAGUGGGGGAUAACGUCCCGAAAGGGACGCUAAUACCGCAUAACAUCCUGCCUUUGAAGAGGCGGAAAUCAAAGCUGGGGAUCGCAAGACCUAGCGCUUGAAGAGGGGCCCGCGUCCGAUUAGCUAGUUGGUGGGGUAAUGGCUCACCAAGGCAACGAUCGGUAGCCGGCCUGAGAGGGCGGACGGCCACACUGGGACUGAGACACGGCCCAGACUCCUACGGAGGCAGCAGGUGGGGAAUUGUUCGCAAUGGGCGCAAGCCUGACGACGCAACGCCGCGUGGA